rnacentral:rRNA from 1 species
UACGUAGGGUGCAAGCGUUGUCCGGAAUUAUUGGGCGUAAAGAGCUCGUAGGCGGUUUGUCGCGUCCGCUGUGAAAACUCGGGGCUUAACCCCGGGCCUGCAGUGGGUACGGGCAGACUAGAGUGCGGUAGGGGAGACUGGAAUUUACGGUGUAGCGGUGAAAUGCGUAGAUAUCGUAAGGAAGACCAGUGGCGAAGGCGGGUCUCUGGACAGUUCCUGACGCUGAGGCACGAAGGUCAGGGGAGCAAACGGG